rnacentral:snRNA from 1 species
AUACUUACCCGGCAGGGGAGACACCAUGAUCACAAAGGUGGUUUUUCCAGGGUGAGUGUUAUCCAUUGCACUCCGGAUGUGCUGACCCCUGUGAUUUCCCCAAAUGUGGGAAACUCCACUGCAUAAUUUGUGGUAGUGGGGGACUGCAUUCGCACUCUCCCCUG